ensembl:lncRNA
GUAAAUUUCACCACGGCAACUAUGAAAAUUGUUACUAGGGUAAAGGGAAGUUACAAUCCAAAGAAUUUAGAAUGUAAGUUUUAGUUGUAGAAGGAACAGUAGAGUCAGUAAUUAGAAAAAAAUCUUUUUAUUUCUAUUUUUUUGGGUCUGAGGACAUGCCUCAAGAUAGAAGAAAAUGAAGGAAAGUAAAAUAUCAAGGUCAGGGGUAGCAGAUGUACCCUCAUUGCUGUCGUAGAGAGAGAACGACAAGCGAGUAGCUGGCAGGGAGCCCAGAAACCCGAGGUUGACACUCCUAGCAUUAUUUCAUAGCAAGCCUAAAAUGCUGACAUGAGUGAGAAGCCUCCAGCAGGUGUAUCAGCAUUUCCGCUGCUGCUUGUGCUGAUAAAGCUUCCUGAACACACACACCAAGUAGAAAUCACUUGGUGACACGUUCACUGGGGCACUCCGCCAAGGAAGUCUAGAUGGGCAGGACGGUGUGCUGCAGAUGGCCCCACUACCCAGCGGGUCCAAUGGACAAUUCGAACGUGGUUUGAGAGAGACGUGGGGAGAAUUCUCUCCCCUGAAAUGUAUGGAGCAAGCUAGUACUUCUAAGAAUUUGCUACUGAAAGACGUAAGUUUGUUACAAUGAAAAUAUUAGGUAAUAAAUGCUGGUUUUUUGUUUUGUUCUCUUUCACACAAGACAUAGACCUGAUGACAUAAAAUUAAGAAACCGGAAAGAGGUGAGAAAAGCAGCUGAAGGAAGAUUUGAACAUUAUACCCUUCAAGAAUUAUAAGCAUGUACCCAUCAUCACCUUUAAGUAUCUUUCCUAAUGUGGACUAUUACUCAAAUAUUUCUGUGUUAUUUUUUCAGGAUGCAUAUGAAAACUGAAGUGGCUUUAGAAUACUAAGGUGGUAGCUCUACACAGUGUGAUUAUUAGUGUUCAAGGAGCCCGCCCUUCAUGUUCACAGUGACAUUAAACACACACACACACACCCCAUCACACACCACCCUCAUAUCCCACAUCCUGAAAAAUUAGACACACACACACAAACACGUCCCUCACACGCCACACCUCCGAACACAUACAUACACAUGCAUACACAGACACACCACACCCUCACACACUCCAAACACAAACCCUUGACUCUUGCACCAGUGACGAGAGGAGCAGAUUGAAGAGCAAGAGCCAGUGGACCUGAAAGGCUAUGGAUGACAUUUGCUGAAAACUGAAAUUCUUCUGUAGGGAUUUCAGUACAAACUUGAUGUUUUUGACUUCGGUGCAUUGAAAUUCAGAGAGACUUGAAAUAUCUUCCAUUUGAAACUGCUGUUUGUCAAAUAUACUUUAGUGUGAACGCACUUCUGAUCAUUUCUUGAGAGCAGGUUUUGACAGACAAACUGCACCUACGGAGGGCCUACGGCUACAGGGGUAAUGAGAGGAGGGCAGAGAGAGGAUGCUGUGGUGGCCGAAACAAACUCAGCUAACACAGUGAUUUGUCCUGGGGUCGGUGCUGACUGAAAACCUGUAGACACCACUGAGAGCUGCCCACAGGAAUAAACGAAAUGUUACACAGAGAAUACUGCGGCUAAAGAGUAUAUUUUUCUACUUACAUCAAUGUGAUGCUUGAAAGGUCUCUUUGGUCUAUAUAAAACUAGCACUUAUUGGCUACUAUUAAAUUAAAUGAGACAUUGCAGACCCCAAAACUAGGCAAUCAUAAAUCGCCAAUCCUAAAUUCUUC